AUGGCCGGCGCGGAGGCAAGCACCGGGAGCGCCCAGAGGGGGGAUACCCUUCCGAAUGGAGACGUCUAUGUGGGCAACUUCGAUGGGCUAGUGCCUCACGGAAUGGGGAAGUAUAUGUGGACGGACGGGUCCCUUUAUGACGGCGAAUGGGAUAGAAGCAAAAUGACCGGGAGAGGAAUGAUCCAGUGGCCUUCAGGCGCAUCCUACGAAGGCGACUUCCGGGGAGGUUUCAUCGACGGAACGGGCACUUUCAAGGGGGUCGACGGCUCGGUUUACAAAGGGUCUUGGAGGAUGAACAAGAAGCAGGGAAUGGGGACAAUGGUUUACUCCAACUCUGACAGUUAUGAAGGCUUGUGGAACGAGGGUUUGCCGGAUGGAUACGGUAAAUAUACAUGGGCUGCUGGCAACAUCUACAUCGGAAGCUGGAAGUCAGGUAGCAUGAACGGCCGAGGCGUAAUGCAGUGGAUACAUGGUGAUACUCUUGACUGUAAUUGGCUCAGUGGGCUGGCUCAUGGGAAAGGCUACUGCAAAUACGCAUCAGGCGCAUGUUACAUUGGUACGUGGGAUAGGGGAGUCAAGGAUGGCCAUGGCAUAUUUUAUCAACCGGGAAGUAAAAUACCUUGUAACCUUGAAGUUUCUGAGUGUGCAACAAAUAAUGAUGGUACAAGUGCUUCAAGUUCUAGUAAUGAAAAGGUCAAAGUUGGACUGUUGUUUCUAUUGCAAAAUCUGUGCAACAAAUGGGGGCUGCGUAGGUUUUUUCAUCGCCCCAGGCGCAUUUCAAAUGGCACAACGCCAAUUUUUGUUGAUGAUUCCGGAAAUCACCUAUCACAAGAUCUUCCCAAUAAAUCCUUGUCAAGUAACGAGCAUUUACAAAACAGUGAUGUUCAUAAGGAUUUGGUCUACGAACGGGAAUAUAUACAAGGAGUUCUUAUCUCCGAACAGCCAAAGGGCAAACAUUCUGGAAUGUUGGACAGCGGUGAAACACAGGAAAAUACCUGGCAAAAACAAGAAAGAGGGCCAAUGGAGACUAUUUACAAGGGUCACAGGAGCUAUUUUCUAAUGCUUAAUUUGCAACUCGGCAUCAGGUAUACCGUGGGUAAAAUCACCCCUGUACCUUUGCGUGAGGUUCGUUCAAAUGAUUUUGGACCUAGGGCCCGGAUAAUAAUGUACUUCCCUUGUGAAGGCUCGCAGUAUACCCCUCCACACUGCUCUGUCAAUUUCUUUUGGAAAGACUAUUGUCCUAUGGUCUUCCGGAAUCUUCGGGAAAUGUUUCAUAUUGAUGCCGCAGAUUACAUGAUGUCCAUAUGUGGGGGUGAUAGUCUAAAGGAGCUUUCUUCACCUGGGAAAAGUGGCAGUAUUUUCUAUCUUUCCCAGGACGAACGAUUUGUUAUAAAAACAUUGAGAAAAAGUGAACUGAAGAUACUGUUGAAGAUGCUUCCAAAAUAUUACAAUCAUGUCAAAGCUUAUGAUAAUACUCUCAUUACGAAAUUUUUUGGCGUGCACAGGAUUACGCUAAAAGCUGGAAAAAAGGUCCGUUUUGUUGUGAUGGGUAAUAUGUUCUGCACUGAGCUGCGAAUUCACCGUAAGUACGACUUAAAGGGAUCUACACAGGGGCGGUCAACAAAAAAGCAAAAAAUUAAUGAGAACACAACAUUGAAGGAUCUUGACCUAGCACAUGCAUUUCAUGUUGAUAAAUCAUGGAGGGAAGCGCUUUUCAGGCAGAUAGCUCUUGAUAGUAUGUUCCUGGAAUCCCAAUCGAUUAUUGACUAUAGCAUGCUAUUGGGAAUCCAUUUCAGAGCUCCCAAUCACUUGAAGACUGCCACAUCACAUCAGAAUACACUUGAAAGCAGUGGAAUUACAUCUGCAACGGAUAGUAGCGUGCCACUGCAUUGUGAGGAUGUGAAUUCCUCGAAGGGAUUUCUUCUAGUUGCUCACGAGCCAGGUACAACAGUAGGCGGUUCCCACAUCAGAGGAAGCAUGGUUAGAGCAUCAGAAGGUGGUUACGAAGAAGUCGAUCUUGUUCUGCCAGGCACCGGCAGAUUCCGUGUGCAGCUAGGGGUGAACAUGCCAGCCCGAGCUCGGAAAUUGCUGGAAAGCACGGACGCGGUCGAGGAGUACGACGUCGUGCUCUACCUCGGCAUCAUAGACAUACUGCAGGAGUACAACACGUCCAAGAGGGUGGAGCAUGCGGUCAAAUCGCUCAAGUUCGACCCGCUUUCUAUAUCAUCUGUUGAUCCGAACUUGUAUUCGAAACGAUUCGUUAGUUUCCUCGAGAGGGUUUUCCCUGAGCAAGACUAA
rnacentral:rRNA from 1 species